AGGCCUCCUCCGUGACCCUCGCCCCCCUCGCCGCCUCCUGUCGGUAUCGGGUGCGGGUGGGGGGGGAGGAGCUGGUCUUCACCACCCCGCCCCUCCCCCGCCCCGCACAUCUGGGACCGCUUCCUCCUGGCCGUGCCCCACCUCACCCCGUCCACCCUGUACCAGCUGCAGGUGCGCGCGCUCACCCGCCUCGGGGAAGGACCAGCAGCCACCGGGACCUUCAGGACCCCUGACCUCCCACCUGCACUUGCUGCGCCUCGGCCCCAUGGGAAGCAGCCCUAUCCUGCUCCCUCUGACAAGCGACCUCCAGGGAGAUACUGAUCUCUUCCUCCAUGGGAUGGGACCGUGCACAGGAUGUGAGCUCCUUGCACACAACAUGGCUCCCACGAGCAGAACUUGGUGCCCGCACUGGGUGCUUACUUUGGAGAACUCCAUCCCCGGGGUCACUUCUGGCCACCAUUCAUGCAUCUGCAAGCACGCAAGAGACGAUGAAGGGAGGGAGGCCAUCUUCAGAGGAAAAAACACAGAUAUGGGUGGAUGGAUGGAUGGAUGGGUGGAUGGAUGGAUGGAUGGGUGGAUGGAUGGAUGGGUGGAU